GACGAGGGAUCCUAGCGUUGUUCGGAAUCAUUGGGCGUAAAGCGGGUGUAGGCGGACUUAUAAGUCAGGUGUGAAAUCCCAGGGCUCAACCCUGGAAGUGCACUUGAUACUGCAAGUCUUGAGUGUGGUAGAGGCUAUUAGAAUUCUUGGUGUAGUGGUGAAAUACGUAGAUAUCAAGAGGAAUACCGGAGGCGAAGGCGGAUAGCUGGGCCAACACUGACGCUGAGACCCGAAAGCGUGGGGAUCAAACAGG
rnacentral:rRNA from 2 species